GCCCCGGCCUUGCCCACGCCCCGAGAGCCGCCGGAGCCACGUGGUGGCGGGCAGGGGCGAGGCGCGCGCGCUGGUGCGGUGCGCCCGGGUCGGAUUGGCUCUGGCGGCGCGCAUCUUGCGCCUCCGCUGCUGCUCUCUUCUUUUGUGCGAGUGGCGGCGGCGGAGGAGCGCCGCUUCUUCCCCACCUCCGCUCGAGGCCACGGCUCGUGGGUGUGUCCGGGUGGGAACAAUGGAGCGCGGCUAGAGGGAGGCGGGCAGCCCGGCUGGCCCGGUUGCUCCAGGCGGCGGCGGCAGAGGCACGGAGCGCGGGGCCGACAGGCAUGGAGCGCCGUCCGGGGCCGACGUGAAGCGGCUGUGCGGAGCGAGAGGCCGGCCGCAGACAAAAGACCCGACCGGCGAGGAUGUGGCGUGGCUGCCGGCGGGGGCCCUCGGAGUGAGGUCGGCCCUGGCCACCGGGCGCCACCGGGGGAGCGGAGCGCCGGGCGCGCCAGCCAUGGGGAAAUGCAGCGGGCGCUGCACGCUGGUCGCCUUCUGCUGCCUGCAACUGAUAGCCGCCCUGGAGAGGCAGAUAUUUGACUUUCUGGGUUAUCAGUGGGUGCCCAUCCUGGCUAAUUUUUUACACAUUAUGGCGGUCAUCUUAGGGAUCUUUGGCACUGUCCAGUACCGAUCCAAAUACCUCAUCCUGUAUGCAGUAUGGCUCGUGCUGUGGGUUGGAUGGAAUGCAUUCAUUAUCUGUUUUUACCUGGAAGUAGGACACCUUUCACAGGACCGAGACUUCAUCAUGACCUUUAAUACAUCGCUGCAUCGUUCUUGGUGGAUGGAGAAUGGGCCCGGUUGCCUGGUGACACCCAUCAUAAACUCUGAUCUGGCUAUCGAGGACCAUCAUGUCAUCACGGUCACUGGGUGCUUCCUGGACUACCAAUAUAUCGAGGUGGUGAGCAGCGCGAUGCAGAUAUUCCUGGCGCUCUUUGGAUUUGUCUACGCCUGCUAUGUCAGCAAAGUAUUUAUGGAAGAAGAAGACAGCUUUGAUUUCAUUGGAGGAUUCGACUCCUACGGCUACCAGGCUCCACAAAAGAUGUCACACUUACAGCUACAGCCUUUGUAUACCUCUGGAUAACAGUGAAUUUCACCUGUGAACGGGCCUCUGGGAGCCAGGUAACAGCGAAAAGCAAGCAGGAUGCCAAAUCUGAUGUAUUCAUUUGAAGGGAAAUGGCGGAUAUCCCUGCCAGAGAUUUUGUGUGGCCAGAGGACUGCCAGGAGACAGCGCAUGGACUACAUCUUGCUCUCUUGAUUGAUUGUUUCUUGAACUCUUCUGCAAAGCCACGAGAGCAUCCAUGCGCUAAGCUGAGACAGCAGCAAGAGGCGUUUCUCGUUCGCAUGCUCACAGCUGUUCUGCUCAGGAACCCAGAAGAGGCACAUCUGUCUACCUGCUGGCCAGUGUUUUGUGUGCUCCUGAGAACUGCAUCUAGCAAAGAACAUCAAGCUUAGGGCAAUAUUAUUUUCAGGAAAGGGCGAGCAAAAGCCGUUUCUAAGGAGGAUCUUUUUCAGUGGGGAAAAAAAACACACAAGGAGAAAAGAAGAACCACACCUUGUUCUGGAUCCAUUACAAAUGUCUGGUUUGCUGCCGAGCGAUGGCUUUGCAGUGUGGUUUAGCUGCAAGAGACAUUACUGUAGAGUGUGGAAUUUGGUAAAUCUGGAAAGAGAAGGUUUGAAUAGGUUCUGGAAUCUGUUUAUUGCUUUCCUCUUCUCCCUAAGGGUUUUCUACCAGUUUGACUAUUUAAAUCCAAGCUUGGCCUGGCACCAAGGGAGAAAAAAGGCGGGAAAUGAAAAGGAAACAGCAGGCAGGCAAAAUGGUGAAUUGGAUCAGCAUGGCUGGGGACGUUUCGCAGCAAGACCCUUCCCCUACAAACAGAAAACCAUGGGAAACCCAUGCUGCAAAGCAAAAGCUGCACUGCAGGAAAUAAACGCACAAAAGGCCUGCGUUUAGGAGUGCACUACCCAGUGGAAGAGAAUUUGUUUGUCUCCCAGGGUUGUGAUCUUGCUGGGAGCAAAGCUCCAGACAGCCUCUCCUGACCCAUUUUCUCCACUGCAGUGUUUCCCGACAUGAUGCCCGCGUCUCAUGUUCAAUUUGAGCUAAACCCACCAAUAAUUCCCCUGGCAACUGCCAACCUUUGCAGGAACAGGGCAGAGUCAUUUUAAGGCAUGAAUUGCUAUAGGCUCCUCUCAUUCAAAUGAACGGGCUUCGUAUAGUCACAGCGUAGGAAGGGAGGUAUUGUGUUUGGCUUUGUCUCUUGUAGCCAUUUAGUAUUUGGCUCCAACUCCAGUGGCAGCCAUUUUGGGGUGGUGCUCCCCCCCCUCCCCCCCAUUCCAUUGGUGUCUGUCCUCAAUAAAAGUUGAAGACCCCUGACUCAACUGACAUAUUUUUUUAAAUCCCCUCUUUAAGGAGCUGAGGACCAUGCAUUUGCCUAUUCCUCCCUUUGAUCCUCACAAUGACUCUUCAAGGUAGGCCAGAGUGUGGAAUCUGAAUUACAAUGGAUCUCCAGACUAAAGAAAUCGAUUCCCCUGGAGAAAAUGGCUGCUUUGGAGGAUGGGCUUCAGGGCAUUAAUACCCUGCUGAGGUAUUAAUACCCUGCCCUCCUCAGGCUUCACACCUAAAUCUCCGGAAAGUUCCUGACCUGGCAACCUUAAUUCUAGAGGAGUCGCCCAUUUGCUUUUGGUUUCAUUCACGUACUUUCAAAAUUUGCUUGAAAACAGCCUGCAAUUGGAUGAUUUGCUCCCCAUAUGAUACUUCAGCGGGCCAGGGGACCCUGAACUUUUUGAGCUUACAAGGCAUGUUUGAGAUGCUAACAUGAUGUGCUGGGCACUCCCACAAAGUGGCUGCCACAAAAUGUGACAGGAAGUGGACCCGGUUACAGAAUGACUUCUGCAGCUGAUCUUGUGCUGUGGUGGCAGCUGCUACCAAAGCAACAUUUUAAAAAUUUUACAUUGUCAGUCAGAAGCCUUGCUGGAGAAAUGCUCCAUCUGGCCCUGCCUACUUUCUAAAAACACUUGGUGGGUGCCA